GUGGAAACCUUUCAGUUAUAAACACUUAGAAAAUCUGUCUAUGACGCUUUUCAUUGCCAGAUAAAAUAGAUUAGUAUUUUGACCCCAAAAAAAGAAUGCCAAUUUAACUAUUGAUUAUGUUCUUGAGAUGAAAUAAAACCAAGUUGUUUUAUUUAUCUAGAUAAGACAGGCUUCUUUAACUCCCACUGUUUUUUUUCUCCUGCUAAAAACAUCUGGACUUCUGAAACAUCAAAACAUGCCUCUUCAGACCUGUGAAAACAACCAAUAUUAUUUAGACAGGAUAAAACAACAUUAUUUAGACAGGUGAAAACAUUAUUUAGACAGGUGAAAACAUUAUUUAAACAGGUGAAAACAUUAUUUAAACAGGUGAAAACAUUAUUUAGACAGGAUAAAACAUUAUUUAGACAGGAUAAAACAACAUUAUUUAGACAGGAUAAAACAACAUUAUUUAG
ensembl:lncRNA